UAAUCCUCCUGCUCCUUCUGGCUGCGCCAGCAGAGCUGCUCUGCCAGAGCCACCGCUUCCCAGUCAGUCAUGUUGUGAAGAGAGAGAGACAAGAGAGGCGGCUUGGCAGUCGGUCGGCGACUAUUUGCGACAGAGUUCUCCCAUCAGCUGAUUCAGAUGCCUGCCACAGUCGGUGCUGAGCCAGGCCGAAGCCAGAAGCUGGGAAUUCAACCUGGGUCUCAGGCCAAAUAUGUAUGAUGUUUGGUGCAUCUUAUCCUUUCUGUUGGGAGGAACACCAUGGUGUCUGAACGUCCUUAUUAUCAAAUCUUCCCUUCAUUGGAGCUCGAUACUAUUUCAUAUAGUCCUGUCUUUUCAUGAAGUCCUUUCCAUACUA